rnacentral:lncRNA from 14 species
CCUUCAUUAAACUGAAGCCACUCUUCUUUCCUCUUAUGUCAUGUGCUGGGAUUGGAGAUACGUACCUGCCUUUGUGUUAUUUUGCUGACCUGCUUGCACUCUAACUGGUAAGCUAUUCCCCC